rnacentral:rRNA from 1 species
UAGGGAAUCUUCCGCAAUGGACGCAAGUCUGACGGAGCAACGCCGCGUGAGUGAAGAAGGAUUUCGGUUCGUAAAACUCUGUUGUUAGAGAAGAACAGCGCAUAGAGUAACUGUUAUGCGUGUGUCGGUAUCUAACCAGAAAGCCACGGCUAACUACGUGCCAGCAGCCGCGGUAAUACGUAGGUGGCAAGCGUUGUCCGGAUUUAUUGGGCGUAAAGCGAGCGCAGGCGGUCAAUUAAGUCUGAUGUGAAAGCCCCCGGCUCAACCGGGGAGGGUCAUUGGAAACUGGUUGACUUGAGUGCAGAAGAGGAGAGUGGAAUUCCAUGUGUAGCGGUGAAAUGCGUAGAUAUAUGGAGGAACACCAGUGGCGAAGGCGACUCUCUGGUCUGUAACUGACGCUGAGGCUCGAAAGCGUGGGUAGCAAACAGG